rnacentral:lncRNA from 1 species
UGGGAUAGAAUGUGAAGUUAAGUUGUAAAGUAUGUUGAAGAAUAGUAUUGUCAUGUGUUAGACAGUCAUGAUUGUGUAUAAGUUAAGGUUACUCGAUUUUGGGAAUAGUGUGUAAAGUUUAAUGUAUAAACAAUUUAUGUUUAUAUCUUCCGCAAACAGUUGUAGAAAUAGCGAACCGGAUCCGCAGCGAUUCGGGACCCGGAUUCGGGGCUGCUACAUACACCCCCGCCGGGGCGGGGGUGUCGAAUUCUGCAGUCUUUUGUUAAGAUUGAAACUCUUCUUGGGCAUGGAUUCUAGCUUAUUGCAUGGCAAUGGAACUCUAGAGAGAUGGAAUUUCGGCUGGGACUUGUGUGUUGGACAUCUAAUACUCAAUUAACAACGAAUUCAACAACACACAAGGCAUAUUACGAAGAUUAAUCUCAGUUUUUCAGAGCAAGCAUUGGAAGGAGUAUUUGGAAGAGAUUUUCGAGACGAUUGCAAUUUUAGGCUACGUGAAGGGUGUUUUUUAAUAUUCUUAUCUUAGGC